rnacentral:tRNA from 1 species
GCCGAUGUGGCUCAGUGGUAGAGCAGCUGAUUCGUAAUCAGCAGGUCGCCGGUUCGAAUCCGGCCAUCGGCUCCA